UUCCGGUUGAUCCUGCCGGACCCGACUGCUAUCGGAUUGAGAUUUAGCCAUGCGAGUCGAACGCCUUCCUGUUGCGGGAGGCGUGGCGUACGGCUCAGUAUCACGUAGUCAACCUGCCCUAGAGACAUGAAUAACCCCGGGAAACUGGGAUUAAUACAUGAUAGAUCAUCUCAUCUGGAAGGAGAGAUGGUUUAAAGGGGUGCGCGAGCUUCUUUUGUGCAUCCGCUCUAGGAUGGGACUGCGGCCGAUCAGGCUGUUGGUGGGGUAAUGGCCCACCAAACCUGUAACCGGUACGGGCCUUGAGAGAGGGGGCCCGGAGAUGGACACUGAGAGAAGGGUCCAGGUCCUACGGGGCGCASMRGGCGCGAAAACCUUCGCAAUGCGCGAAAGCGUGACGAGGUUAAUCCGAGUGGUUCCCGCUGAGGGAAUCUUUUGUUGGCUCUAAAAUGGCCAGUGAAUAAGGGGAGGGCAAGUCUGGUGUCAGCCGCCGCGGUAAUACCAGCUCCUCGAGUGGUCGGGGCGAUUAUUGGGCCUAAAGCAUCCGUAGCCUGUUCUGUAGGUCUUCUGUUAAAUCCAACGGCUUAACCGUUGGCCUGCAGAAGAUACCGCAGGACUAGGAGGCGGGAGAGGUGGACGGUACUCCACGUGUAGGGGUAAAAUCCUUUGAUCCGUGGAAGACCACCAGUGGCGAAGGCGGUCCACCAGAACGCGCUCGACGGUGAGGGAUGAAAGCUGGGGGAGCGAACCGGAUUAGAUACCCGGGUAGUCCCAGCCGUAAACGAUGCGAGCUAGAUGAUCCAAUCGCAAAUCGCGAUUGGAGUGUCGCAGGGAAGCCGUUAAGCUCGCCGCCUGGGGAGUACGGUCGCAAGACUGAAACUUAAAGGAAUUGGCGGG
rnacentral:rRNA from 1 species